rnacentral:rRNA from 1 species
CGGCGGACGGGUGAGUAACACGCGGAUAACCUACCUAUAAGACUGGGAUAACUUCGGGAAACCGGAGUUAAUACCGGAUAAUAUAUUGAACCGCAUGGUUCAAUAGUGAAAGACGGUUUUGCUGUCACUUAUAGAUGGAUCCGCGCCGCAUUAGCUAGUUGGUAAGGUAACGGCUUACCAAGGCAACGAUGCGUAGCCGACCUGAGAGGGUGAUCGGCCACACUGGAACUGAGACACGGUCCAGACUCCUACGGGAGGCAGCAGCC